UGGAAUUGCUAGUAAUGGCAGGUCAGCAUACUGCCGUGAAUACGUUCCCGGGCCUUGUACACACCGCCCGUCACACCAUGAGAGUUGGAAAUACCCGAAGCCUGUGAGCUAACAGUAAUGAGGCAGCAGUCGAAGGUAGAGCCAAUGAUUGGGGUGAAGUCGUAACAAGGUACC
rnacentral:rRNA from 1 species